rnacentral:rRNA from 1 species
UGGAAAGGCGCGCGAUACAGGGUGACAGCCCCGUACACAAAAGCGCAUGUGCUGUGAGCUCGAUGAGUAGGGCGGGACACGUGGUAUCCUGUCUGAAUAUGGGGGGACCAUCCUCCAAGGCUAAAUACUCCUGACUGACCGAUAGUGAACCAGUACCGUGAGGGAAAGGCGAAAAGAACCCCGGCGAGGGGAGUGAAAAAGAACCUGAAACCGUGUACGUACAAGCAGUGGGAGCACAGGUUUACCUGUGUGACUGCGUACCUUUUGUAUAAUGGGUCAGCGACUUAUAUUCUGUAGCAAGGUUAACCGUAUAGGGGAGCCGAAGGGAAACCGAGUCUUAACCGGGCGUUAAGUUGCAGGGUAUAGACCCGAAACCCGGUGAUCUAGCCAUGGGCAGGUUGAAGGUUGGGUAACACUAACUGGAGGACCGAACCGACUAAUGUUGAAAAAUUAGCGGAUGACCUGUGGCUGGGGGUGAAAGGCCAAUCAAACCGGGAGAUAGCUGGUUCUCCCCGAAAGCUAUUUAGGUAGCGCCUCGUGAAUUCAUCUCCGGGGGUAGAGCACUGUUUCGGCUAGGGGGCCAUCCCGGCUUACCAACCCGAUGCAAACUGCGAAUACCGGAGAAUGUUAUCACGGGAGACACACGGCGGGUGCUAACGUCCGUCGUGAAGAGGGAAACAACCCAGACCGCCAGCUAAGGUCCCAAAGUCAUGGUUAAGUGGGAAACGAUGUGGGAAGGCCCAGACAGCCAGGAUGUUGGCUUAGAAGCAGCCAUCAUUUAAAGAAAGCGUAAUAGCUCACUGGUCGAGUCGGCCUGCGCGGAAGAUGUAACGGGGCUAAACCAUGCACCGAAGCUGCGGCAGCGACGCUGAUGCGUUGUUGGGUAGGGGAGCGUUCUGUAAGCCUGCGAAGGUGGCCUGUGAGGGUUGCUGGAGGUAUCAGAAGUGCGAAUGCUGACAUAAGUAACGAUAAAGCGGGUGAAAAGCCCGCUCGCCGGAAGACCAAGGGUUCCUGUCCAACGUUAAUCGGGGCAGGGUGAGUCGACCCCUAAGGCGAGGCCGAAAGGCGUAGUCGAUGGGAAACGGGUUAAUAUUCCCGUACUUGGUGUUACUGCGAAGGGGGGACGGAGAAGGCUAUGUUGGCCGGGCGACGGUUGUCCCGGUUUAAGCGUGUAGGUGUGUGUUCCAGGUAAAUCCGGUUCACUUUAACACUGAGGCGUGACGACGAGGCACUACGGUGCUGAAGCAACAAAUGCCCUGCUUCCAGGAAAAGCCUCUAAGCAUCAGGUAACAUCAAAUCGUACCCCAAACCGACACAGGUGGUCAGGUAGAGAAUACCAAGGCGCUUGAGAGAACUCGGGUGAAGGAACUAGGCAAAAUGGUGCCGUAACUUCGGGAGAAGGCACGCUGACACGUAGGUGAAGUGAUUUACUCAUGGAGCUGAAGUCAGUCGAAGAUACCAGCUGGCUGCAACUGUUUAUUAAAAACACAGCACUGUGCAAACACGAAAGUGGACGUAUACGGUGUGACGCCUGCCCGGUGCCGGAAGGUUAAUUGAUGGGGUCAGCGCAAGCGAAGCUCCUGAUCGAAGCCCCGGUAAACGGCGGCCGUAACUAUAACGGUCCUAAGGUAGCGAAAUUCCUUGUCGGGUAAGUUCCGACCUGCACGAAUGGCGUAAUGAUGGCCAGGCUGUCUCCACCCGAGACUCAGUGAAAUUGAACUCGCUGUGAAGAUGCAGUGUACCCGCGGCAAGACGGAAAGACCCCGUGAACCUUUACUAUAGCUUGACACUGAACAUUGAGCCUUGAUGUGUAG